AAUUGAGUGCCUGACCAAAAGGAUUACCUUGAUAGGGUAAAUAAUGUAACUUGUUUACCUCAAUUA
rnacentral:tRNA from 1 species